rnacentral:rRNA from 1 species
AGCGAACGCUGGCGGCAGGCCUAACACAUGCAAGUCGAACGAACCUUUCGGGGUUAGUGGCGGACGGGUGAGUAACACGUGGGAACGUGCCUUUAGGUUCGGAAUAACUCAGGGAAACUUGUGCUAAUACCGAAUGUGCCCUUCGGGGGAAAGAUUAAUCGCCUUUAGAGCGGCCCGCGUCUGAUUAGCUAGUUGGUUGAGGUAAUGGCUCACCAAGGCGACGAUCAGUAGCUGGUCUGAGAGGAUGAUCAGCCACAUUGGGACUGAGACACGGCCCAAACCCCUCCGGGGGGCAGCAGGGGGGAAUCUUGCGCAAUGGGCGAAAGCCUGACGCAGCCAUGCCGGGUGAAUGAUGAAGGUCUUAGGAUUGUAAAAUUCUUUCACCGGGGACGAUAAUGACGGUACCCGGAGAAAAAGCCCCGGCUAACUUCGU